UACAGAGGGUGCAAGCGUUGUUCGGAAUUAUUGGGCGUAAAGGGAGUGUAGGCGGGUUGUUAAGUCUUCUGUGAAAUCUACGGGCUCAGCCUGUAAAGUGCAGAGGAAACUGGCGAGCUUGAGUGUCGGAGAGGAUAGGGGAAUACCCGGUGUAGAGGUGAAAUUCGUAGAGAUCGGGUGGAACACCAGUGGCGAAGGCGCCUAUCUGGCUGACAACUGACGCUGAGACUCGAAAGCAUGGGGAGCAAACAGG
rnacentral:rRNA from 1 species